CAAGGGGACCGAGCCGGGGAUGACAUCUGCCCGCAGCCGCUGUUGUGAUGCGUGGGACACACCCGGCCCCCGAGUGCCCCGUUACCUUCUCUCCGGACUCAGGACUCCGGACCGGGGCCUCUCAGCUCCGGCACCAGUGACGUUGGGGCACGUGGUGUGGUUCUCCUGGGCCGUCCUGUGCACGUAGGAUGUUUGGUGACGCCCUGCCUCCGCCCGGCAGGUGCGGGGGCUCCUCCCGCGGUAGACUUCGUCCGAGCCACUGAAAUUAUUGCAGACGCUGCCAAGUGUUGCCGACAGAUGUUCAGGCCCUGCUCUCCCCUCCAACAGCACCUGGGGGACGGGAUUCCUGCCUGCGUCUGUCCCUACGGGUCCCAGCCGGCUCCGGAAACCUGCCCUUCCCUCCGGGACCUGGUGUGACCCCGUGGCUGCUCGGGGCCUGUGCUCUCUGGACACACACCAGCCCGGGACCUGAUGACACGUGAGGAUCGCGUGUGGCUGGCCUGGUGUCACCCCUCGGGCAUGCUUGUGAACUUGAUGCACACGUGGGUGGCUCCAGGGUACCGACCAUCUAACAGGGAAAAAAAGGUCAGGCUUCUCCACCAGGUGGAUGAUAAAAACGGGCAGGGAUUUGUGCAAAUCAACUUGCAGGUUGCUGGUUCUGACUCUCAGGGUCCAG